AGUCUGAUUCACAAUACAUGAUACUGCAUUAAAAUUUUAUACCUAUUUCUCUCUUUACCUAUUUUUGCAAGCAAGUGUACAUUGCACUUCUUAAUUAUUCAUAUUGAGAUAUUUGCUCAAAACAACAGUAAGUUCUUUUGGAGUUAGGUGCUACUAAGUCAACAUCACGCAUUCACCCUGCAUCAGUUGUCCAUUAAAAGAGAGUCAUCCUUUUACACAUACCGCUGGUUCUUCGUUUACUAAAUCAGAAAAGAGGAACUUUUUAAUUGCUAUUGAGCCUUAUUAUUUUAUUUUUCAUUUAUGUUGUUUUCAAACCAAGAAGCCAAAAUACUUUCAGAAAGUUUGCACGAAGCAAAUUAGCUACAUCAGAUACAUGUAAGACUGUUGCAGCAUAUUCUUGAAUAUGGAAAUGGUACGUUUUAUAUGGCCAUGGCCCAUGAGUUCAUAAAAAGAUCAUCCGAGUGGGACAUCAGCUUUUUGAAUUCUAUUUUAUCUAGAUGCAAAUAUUAAGUUGCCACUUUUAAAUAAGAGAUUGAAAUAAGCAUUUCUGGGAGAGAAAAGAUAAAAUAUGUUCUGUUGGAAAGACAAAGAAACAUGAUCAUUAAUGACACAAAUUAUUUUCAUGCAUAUAAAAAAAGUAAGUAUACUUUUCCCUGCUUCAUUAAUUUAGUGUUAAGGUUGUGGUGAAAGUCUCUCUAAUUUGUAUAUAGAUAGUCAAAGCCUAUUUGCCUCCGAUUAGUUUGGAUCUCAAUUAUUUUUUUAUUAAGGCCUUGUUGAAUCUUUAACCUAGCAGUUUACGAGCAAUACAUUGCAUGUAUGUGCUUUAAUGAAAGUUGAUUCCCCGCUGGUGGAAAAUUUUUGAUGAUUGAAUGUUGUCAUUAUUUGGAGUUAUUUCCUCUUUGUUUCGCUUUUUCAUCUGCAGAUUACUUAAUUUCCAUUGAAAAGCAUCUUAGUGAAAGGUGUAUUUUUCUCACAUUAGAUUAGUAUUUCCAGAUCUAAUUAUCAAGUGCCCUUGAGAAUAAGGUGCCACUGAAGUGUACAUAUCUCAAAAAUGAGAAUUUCCAACUCCUUACCAAAAAAAUAAAUAAAUAGAUAAAUAAAUAAAUUAGGAUUCGCAUCUAUUGUGACGCAGCAGCACUUAUAAUGCCAGUAAGUAACCUCGAUUGCUAAUGUCUUCUAGAGUAAUAUAGAGAGCAUUAAUGAUACUCUUCAUCUUGUGAAAAUAUGCAUUUAGUGUUUAUACUUGCUGGUGUACUGGAGGAGAGUGAAUCUCAACUCCUUUUUUUCAAUAAAGAUAUCAACUCAGUUUUUCAUCGCUUAGAAAAUUUUGUUUUCUGCUGAAUGCAAUAAUAGCAUACGGCAUUGAAAGUUGGUUUAGUGUGACUUAGGUCAAGGAUGUUCAUCGUUCCUUUUUUGAUUUUCAUGAUUAGAAUAUUCACUCCCUUUUUACAAUGUUUAAGAUUAUAAGUGGUUUUCUACAGAUUUGCACAUUUGAGGCCAUUGAAAAGUGCCAUUGAGAAGUAUAUAACUAGUAUGUGCCCGUUUGGUGGCAUUCCUUGGAAGAAUAAAUAGAAUUGUACUUUGUAUCUGCAUACAAGGACAUAGAAAAAGACCUUCAACUCCUCUUCUUAGAAGUGCUUCUCAGUGUCUCAGCCAGACAGGGUCGAAGUAUGAUCUCUCAGAGCUUGGAGGAAAAAAAGUAUUUUCCUAGAGGUUCAAAAUGGUCCUUGAAAGUUAGUAUCGUUGCAAACAACUCAUCACUCAAGUGGAUAUUUCACAAUAGUUUGAGUAUCUUGUAGAGCUUUGUUCCUCAAUGUAGGAGAACUCUUUGAAGUGUGAGUAUGUUGCAAACAUUGAAUCACUGACAAUCGUGCUUCCUUUUUAAGGGAUCUAGAUCACUGAGUAUGAAAAUAUCUUUUUGAUGUUGACAUUAUUUUAUUAAUCUUGUGAUGUGCAAAUAUACAAAGGAUUGUGUUGG